rnacentral:rRNA from 1 species
UACGUAGGUGGCAAGCGUUGUCCGGAUUUACUGGGCGUAAAGAGCGCGCAGGCGGUCGUUCAAGUCGCGUGUGAAAGCCCCCGGCUCAACUGGGGAGGGUCACGCGAUACUGAUCGACUCGAAGGCAGGAGAGGGUAGUGGAAUUCCCGGUGUAGUGGUGAAAUGCGUAGAUAUCGGGAGGAACACCUGUGGCGAAGGCGGCCCCCUGGUCGGAUACUGACGCUGAGACGCGAAAGCGUGGGGAGCAAACAGG